rnacentral:rRNA from 1 species
CCUACGGGGGGCUGCAGUGGGGAAUAUUGGACAAUGGGGGCAACCCUGAUCCAGCCAUGCCGCGUGUGUGAAGAAGGCCCUCGGGUUGUAAAGCACUUUCAGUGAGGAAGAACGCCUGGUGGUUAAUACCCAGCAGGAAAGACAUCACUCACAGAAGAAGCACCGGCUAACUCCGUGCCAGCAGCCGCGGUAAUACGGAGGGUGCGAGCGUUAAUCGGAAUUACUGGGCGUAAAGCGCGCGUAGGUGGCUUGAUAAGCCGGUUGUGAAAGCCCCGGGCUCAACCUGGGAACGGCAUCCGGAACUGUCAAGCUAGAGUGCAGGAGAGGAAGGUAGAAUUCCCGGUGUAGCGGUGAAAUGCGUAGAGAUCGGGAGGAAUACCAGUGGCGAAGGCGGCCUUCUGGACUGACACUGACACUGAGGUGCGAAAGCGUGGGUAGCAAACAGGAUUAGAUACCCGUGUAGUC